GCCCCUGUAGCGCAAUGGUAGCGCGUGAGACUGUUCGUACCCCCUUGGUCCUCGAUUUCCCAUUCUUUACUAACAAAGCUGUAGUCUAAUCUCAAGGUUGCGGGUUCGAGCCCCGCCAGGGGUU
rnacentral:tRNA from 1 species